rnacentral:rRNA from 1 species
GACGGGGGGUCCUAGCGUUGUUCGGAAUUAUUGGGCGUAAAGCGUGUGCAGGUUGUUUGAAAAGUUGGAUGUGAAAUCCUCGGGCUUAACCCGAGACGUGCAUUCAAAACUGCCAGACUUGAGUAUGGAAGAGGAUCGUGGAAUUCCUAGUGGAGCGGUGAAAUGCGUUGAUAUCAGAAGGAACGCCGGUGGCGAAAGCGGCGUGCUGGACCUCUUCUGACGCUGAUGCGCGAAAGCUAGGGGAGCAAACGGG